GUGUAGACGGGACGAGAUGCGGCGGUAAUAGGUGGGGUGGGAGGUGUAUUCGGAAUCUCUGGGCGGAAUGGGGGCGUAGGUGGCUCGUUAAGUGAGAGUUUAAAUCGUGUGGCUCAACCUUUUCGAGGCAUCUCAUACUGGCGGUCUAGAGGACGGCAGAGGCAAGUGGAAUUGGUAGUGUAGCAGUGAAAUGCGUAGAUAUUACCAGGAACACCAAUGGCGAAGGCAGCUUGCUGGGCCACUCCUGACACUGAGGUACGAAAGCGUGGGGAGCGAACAGGAUUAGAUACCCCUGUAGUC
rnacentral:rRNA from 1 species